CCUACGGGCGGCAGCAGUGAGGAAUAUUGGUCAAUGGCCGGAAGGCUGAACCAGCCAUGCCGCGUGAAGGUCAGUGCCCUAUGGGCGUUAAACUUCUUUUGUGCGGGAGCAAUAAUGGUCACGUGUGGCCAGACGAGAGUACCGUACGAAUAAGCAUCGGCUAACUCCGUGCCAGCAGCCGCGGUAAUACGGGGGAUGCAAGCGUUAUCCGGAUUUAUUGGGGUUAAAGGGUGCGUAGGCUGUGAGGUAAGUCAGCGGUGAAAUGCCCCCGCUCAACGGGGUGAAGUGCCAUUGCUACUGCCUUGCUGGAAUGCGGAUGCCGUGGGAGGAAUGUGUGGUGUAGCGGUGAAAUGCAUAGAUAUCACACAGAACACCGAUUGCGAAGGCAUCUCACGAAUCCGCGAUUGACGCUGAUGCACGAAAGCGUGGGUAUCAAACAGGAUUAGAUACCCCAGUAGUC
rnacentral:rRNA from 1 species